rnacentral:rRNA from 1 species
UACGGAGGGUGCGAGCGUUACUCGGAAUCACUGGGCGUAAAGGGCGCGUAGGCGGCUCCUCUAGUCCGGGGUGAAAGCCCCCGGCCCAACCGGGGAGGGUCCCUGGAGACGGGGGAGCUGGAGUCCGGGAGAGGGAGGCGGAAUUCCCGGUGUAGGGGUGAAAUCCGUAGAGAUCGGGAGGAACACCGGUGGCGAAGGCGGCCUUCUGGACCGAGACUGACGCUGAGGCGCGAAAGCGUGGGGAGCAAACAGG